rnacentral:rRNA from 1 species
GUAGGUGGCAAGCGUUGUCCGGAAUUAUUGGGCGUAAAGCGCGCGCAGGCGGUUCUUUAAGUCUGAUGUGAAAGCCCGCGGCUCAACCGUGGAGGGUCAUUGGAAACUGGAGAACUUGGGUACAGAAGAGGAAAGCGGAAUUCCACGUGUAGCGGUGAAAUGCGUAGAGAUGUGGAGGAACACCAGUGGCGAAGGCGGCUUUCUGGUCUGUAACUGACGCUGAGGCGCGAAGGCGUGGGGAGCAAACAGGGAUUAGAUACCCUGGUAGUCCACGCCGUAAACGAUGAGUGCUAAGUGUUAGGGGGUUUCCCGCCCCCUUAGUGCUGCAGCUAACGCAUUAAGCACUCCGCCUGGGGAUACGGCCGCAAGGCUG